rnacentral:rRNA from 1 species
GGGUUGUGAGGUUAAGCGACUAAGCGUACACGGUGGAUGCCCUGGCAGUCAGAGGCGAUGAAGGACGUGCUAAUCUGCGAAAAGCGUCGGUAAGGUGAUAUGAACCGUUACAGCCGGCGAUGUCCGAAUGGGGAAACCCAGUGCAAUUCGUUGCACUAUCGUUAACUGAAUACAUAGGUUAACGAGGCGAACCGGGGGAACUGAAACAUCUAAGUACCCCGAGGAAAAGAAAUCAACCGAGAUUCCCCCAGUAGCGGCGAGCGAACGGGGAGCAGCCCAGAGUCUGAAUCAGCUUGUGUGUUAGUGGAACGGUCUGGAAAGUCCGACGGUACAGGGUGAUAGUCCCGUACACCAAAAUGCACAGGCUGUGAACUCGAAGAGUAGGGCGGGACACGUGGUAUCCUGUCUGAAUAUGGGGGGACCAUCCUCCAAGGCUAAAUACUCCUGACUGACCGAUAGUGAACCAGUACCGUGAGGGAAAGGCGAAAAGAACCCCGGCGAGGGGAGUGAAAAAGAACCUGAAACCGUGUACGUACAAGCAGUGGGAGCACCUUCGGGUGUGACUGCGUACCUUUUGUAUAAUGGGUCAGCGACUUAUAUUCUGUAGCAAGGUUAACCGUAUAGGGGAGCCGCAGGGAAACCGAGUCUUAACUGGGCGUUAAGUUGCAGGGUAUAGACCCGAAACCCGGUGAUCUAGCCAUGGGCAGGUUGAAGGUUGGGUAACACUAACUGGAGGACCGAACCGACUAAUGUUGAAAAAUUAGCGGAUGACUUGUGGCUGGGGGUGAAAGGCCAAUCAAACCGGGAGAUAGCUGGUUCUCCCCGAAAGCUAUUUAGGUAGCGCCUCGUGAACUCAUCUUCGGGGGUAGAGCACUGUUUCGGCUAGGGGGUCAUCCCGACUUACCAACCCGAUGCAAACUACGAAUACCGAAGAAUGUUAUCACGGGAGACACACGGCGGGUGCUAACGUCCGUCGUGAAGAGGGAAACAACCCAGACCGCCAGCUAAGGUCCCAAAGUCACAGUUAAGUGGGAAACGAUGUGGGAAGGCACAGACAGCCAGGAUGUUGGCUUAGAAGCAGCCAUCAUUUAAAGAAAGCGUAAUAGCUCACUGGUCGAGUCGGCCUGCGCGGAAGAUGUAACGGGGCUAAACUGUGCACCGAAGCUGCGGCAGCGACACUUAGGUGUUGUUGGGUAGGGGAGCGUUCUGUAAGCCUGCGAAGGUGGCCUGUGAGGGUUGCUGGAGGUAUCAGAAGUGCGAAUGCUGACAUAAGUAACGAUAAUGCGGGUGAAAAGCCCGCACGCCGGAAGACCAAGGGUUCCUGUCCAACGUUAAUCGGGGCAGGGUGAGUCGACCCCUAAGGCGAGGCCGAAAGGCGUAGUCGAUGGGAAACAGGUUAAUAUUCCUGUACUUGGUGUUACUGCGAAGGGGGGACGGAGAAGGCUAUGUUAGCCGGGCGACGGUUGUCCCGGUUUAAGCAUGUAGGCGGAGGUUCCAGGUAAAUCCGGUACCUUAUUAACGCUGAGGUGUGAUGACGAGGCACUACGGUGCUGAAGUAACAAAUGCCCUGCUUCCAGGAAAAGCCUCUAAGCAUCAGGUAACAUUGAAUCGUACCCCAAACCGACACAGGUGGUCAGGUAGAGAAUACCAAGGCGCUUGAGAGAACUCGGGUGAAGGAACUAGGCAAAAUGGUGCCGUAACUUCGGGAGAAGGCACGCUGAUAUGUAGGUGAAGCCCCUGCGGGUGGAGCUGAAAUCAGUCGAAGAUACCAGCUGGCUGCAACUGUUUAUUAAAAACACAGCACUGUGCAAACACGAAAGUGGACGUAUACGGUGUGACGCCUGCCCGGUGCCGGAAGGUUAAUUGAUGGGGUUAUCCGUAAGGAGAAGCUCUUGAUCGAAGCCCCGGUAAACGGCGGCCGUAACUAUAACGGUCCUAAGGUAGCGAAAUUCCUUGUCGGGUAAGUUCCGACCUGCACGAAUGGCGUAAUGAUGGCCAGGCUGUCUCCACCCGAGACUCAGUGAAAUUGAACUCGCUGUGAAGAUGCAGUGUACCCGCGGCAAGACGGAAAGACCCCGUGAACCUUUACUAUAGCUUGACACUGAACAUUGAGCCUUGAUGUGUAGGAUAGGUGGGAGGCUUUGAAGCGUGGACGCCAGUCUGCGUGGAGCCAACCUUGAAAUACCACCCUUUAAUGUUUGAUGUUCUAACGUUGGCCCCUUAUCGGGGUUGCGGACAGUGUCUGGUGGGUAGUUUGACUGGGGCGGUCUCCUCCCAAAGAGUAACGGAGGAGCACGAAGGUUAGCUAAUCCUGGUCGGACAUCAGGAGGUUAGUGCAAUGGCAUAAGCUAGCUUGACUGCGAGCGUGACGGCGCGAGCAGGUGCGAAAGCAGGUCAUAGUGAUCCGGUGGUUCUGAAUGGAAGGGCCAUCGCUCAACGGAUAAAAGGUACUCCGGGGAUAACAGGCUGAUACCGCCCAAGAGUUCAUAUCGACGGCGGUGUUUGGCACCUCGAUGUCGGCUCAUCACAUCCUGGGGCUGAAGUAGGUCCCAAGGGUAUGGCUGUUCGCCAUUUAAAGUGGUACGCGAGCUGGGUUUAGAACGUCGUGAGACAGUUCGGUCCCUAUCUGCCGUGGGCGCUGGAGAAUUGAGGGGGGCUGCUCCUAGUACGAGAGGACCGGAGUGGACGCAUCACUGGUGUUCGGGUUGUCAUGCCAAUGGCAUUGCCCGGUAGCUAAAUGCGGAAGAGAUAAGUGCUGAAAGCAUCUAAGCACGAAACUUGCCCCGAGAUGAGUUCUCCCUGACUCCUUGAGAGUCCUGAAGGAACGUUAAAGACGAUGACGUUGAUAGGUCGGGUGUGUAAGCGUAGCGAUACGUUGAGCUAACCGAUACUAAUGAACCGUGAGGCUUAACCUUACAACGCCGAAGCUGUU